AUGACUUAUGAUAAAGCUGUAAUUAUUUCAUAGUAAUUACCAUAAAAGAAUAAUCAAAAAGGAAUUAUGAUAUAAU
rnacentral:sRNA from 12 species